rfam:Colletotrichum gloeosporioides Nara gc5 unplaced genomic scaffold scaffold494, whole genome shotgun sequence.
GGGCGAUUGGUUUAGUGGUAUAACGAUCCCUUCGCAUGGGAUAGGUCCUAGGUUCGAUUCCUAGAUUGUCCA